UUCCGGGCUUUAGGCAGCACGCGGCACGAGGCGAGGGACCCCGGCUCGACCAGCCCCUGACCCGGGGGGCGAGGCAACCCGAGCCCGAGCCCCGCCGGCCCGCGGCUGCUCCUCUGAAGGAGAAAUGUGCCGGCCCGCGGCUGCCCUGGCCUUCGGCACCUCUCACCUUUCCCCCUCCAGUCCCCUCCCUGCCUGCCCCCGGCCCCAGCGCAGCGCAGCGCCAGGGCGGGGGACGCACACCAGACGGCCGGGCCCGGCGGGGCGACUCGAAGCUCAGGGUUUCCUGCAUCAGAUAUUGAGGUGGACCGUGGUCAGCAUCAGGAGAAUGAAACAGAGCUCCACAAUUAGCUUGAUUACGAAACAAGAUAAAAGAGAUGGAACAAGUUUCUGGAAGGGACCGGAAGACAGGGAAGUUCUUGCUUUCCAGUUGGGGUGUGUGAUGGGUGGAUUUGUUGUGGUCCCAGGUUGCAGUACAGAGGGUGCAUCUACACAAGGUGCUACAAAUGCAGUAGACUAAUUCUACUGCACAUUAGUGCGGCAGGCAAAACCCGUACUAAUGCACUAAUGUGCAGUAGAAAACAUGUGCCAGCUACUGCGGAGUAGCACUGAUGUGCUGUAAUUAUUGCUUAUUAAUGAAUGUGUAGAUACACCCGGAGUAGAGGAUAUUGGAUUAUUCCAGGCUUCCGGGCUUUGCAGGUCACCAUGUGUCCAAGAAGGAAUUUUAUUCCUCUCUUGUAGCUACGAAUGGCACAUUUUGAUUCACUUUCCUCAGAAGCAUUAGAAGUUAGCUGUAGCCAAGGCUGGAGGUUGUAACGGGGUAUUGUUGAUGCUUCUACUGGUACUUAGAACAAAUGAAGACACUUGCCCCUCUGCUAAGAAGAUCAGUCACCACAUUUAGAAUCAGGAAUAUUUACCCCACGGUCACUGGAAUGGGCUUUGGGAGAGGGAGGGAGCUUCCCUGCCUUCUGCCUAAAACAACAGUCAACCUUGUUGCGUGUCAACAAGACAUAGCAUGCUAACCUGCCACAGUAGUCAGUGUCAUGCUGCUUCAAGGACAGUUAAAAUGCACUCCAAAAAUCCAGAAGAAAUCAUCAAAAACACAAAUACAGGAAGGUGAACAGCUGGCUAGAUAUCAGCUGUGGGUGGCAGUACCUCUUCCAGUCAGGCUGUGAGAGAAGCCAGGAAACCUGUGCACUGAAUUGGGAAGCAGGUGCCUACACUCAAAAGACAGUUCUGGGUUAGGGAGCCCACAUACACAAAGUCCCUCCCUCAGCCCUGACAUGGGCAGCUGAUGCCUCCAGUUCAAGGUAAGGAGUUUGCAGUCAUUUGUGUCUUCAGGGUUUUCCCCUCAGUCAGCUCCAGGCAGUGUUGUCCUGUUUGGGUGUCCUGUUGUGCCCAGCUCCUGCUGUACCAUACAGGGAGCCUGGGCCCCCAACUCUUGGGGGUCCCAGCACCUAGGAUUUAGGCAUUGCGGCACCAUCCCUGUCAGUACACAAGUCCUUUUUUGGACCUAAAUCCUAAAUGUCCAAAUCCUAACUAGUUUUUACUUGUCACCCAAAUCCAGAAUUGUGCUUCUCAGAGACCUUGCUCUGCCUGACACCCUCUCCCCAAAAUUAGUCUGUGCCUCCGCUUUGUGCCUGAAGUGCUCCAGGCAGUUCAAGCUCUGCAUCUGCAUGUGUGCCAAGUGACUCACCACUGACAGUGUGAGUAGCUCAGCACCUGCCUCUCCCCAGCAUCUGCAAGGCAGACGUUUCUCUCUGCACCCCAUCGCUCAAUGCCUGCAGGCCCAGCCAGGUGGGCAUCCUUAAAACAUGCCUUAUUCAACAGGCCCUGCACAAAGUGGAUGGAGGAGGAAGAGGGGGCAUCAUCCCCAGCAUCAGUCAGUGGCUCAGUGGUUUGAAAGCUCAUCCAAGACGUAGGAAACCUGAAUUCCAGACCCUGUUUCAGUUAGUCCUUAGGGGUGGUUGGCAGGUUAUUAAACUGGUGUAGCAGGCUUUCCUUUUGGAGCUUGGGUUGAGUCCCAGGCUUGAGAUUUUGCUGCUUUGGUGAAGCCUGUCCACCAAUCAGGAGGCAGCAAGAGGAGUUAAGUCAUGCCCCUUUCCUGAGGGGAGGGGGAGAAGAGCUUCCCCCAGACCUGAUUGUAGACUGCAACACUGUCAGGUCAGAGCGGAGCCCUGAAGAAUAUAAAAGGAGCUGCUUGCCUAGUAUAGGAGACACAUCUGGGACAGAGAGGAGUGGGGCUUAGAAGAGCUGAGGAAAGCUGCUCAGCUGGGUGAAGCAGUAGCUCAGAAGCACCCCUGAAGACUUCCGUCGGUGGGGAACAGCUCCAGCAGCUAUGCUCUUGGUGCGCAGCACAGUGUCCACACCCUGGGAGCUGCAUGAGGCGGCUCAGAUCUGCAACCUCUGGCGUGUGGCCAGAGACAUGGCGCACAGGCCAGUGCAUGGAGCAGGAUCUUUGGAGCACUUGGGCAGCUCAGGUCCUCAACUCACGGCACAAGGCUGGGAGCUCAGUGCAGGAUGCGCUGCAUGGAGGGUCCGGGAGUGAACCGAGUCCAGUGCUCCAUGAGGCAGCCUGGGCCUCCAACCCAUAGCAAAAGGUUGAGUCCAGGGAGCCAGACUGAGCCAGCAGACCGAGCCAGAGGCCCCAGAAGCCCUGAAUAGUGGAGCCCUGUUCCAGGGGCCCUGUUCCAGGGACCUCCACCCCGAAGGCCACUGCAGGCGAGAGAGCAGCUUGGUGCAGAGGACGAGGACAGUCUUCCAGGCCUGGGAGUUGUGAGCUGCAGGGAAAAAGGAUUCCCACAAGGGAGGGGGGGUCCCCCCUGGUUAGUUAAGGGCUCCUGAAAGUGAAGGUCCCACUGGAAGGGCCCCCCUGAAGUUGCCAGCUUCCUUGAAGGGCUUGGGAAAAAGCCCAAGGGCAUUGGGGUUUCCCCUUAGGAUUAAGUUUAUCUUUGAAGUUCUUGUGCCAUAAGUGGCCUAAUGUUGUGCCUUAUUUUUUGUGAACUCUCAUGUUUGUAAACUAGUAGAUGAAUAGAGUCCUAGGGUUCUGCUGGGACCCCCUUUUGCUAUUAUUUCACCUGUUGUUUAUUUGUAUUUAUUUGUGGCUUAUUUAUUGUUCACCUAUACUUAUCUAUAGUUUAUCUAUUGCCUAUCUAUGUUUAUUUUAGGGUUUAUCUGUUUCAGAUCAGAUACUUACGUGUGACUUGCCUGUAUCUGAAGCACUAGUAUAAGGUUUUAUAGCAUUUACCCAGAGGGUAUUGUUUAUGUUAUUUGUUUAGAUAAAUAAAUAGAUAUGUUUAUAUCCA